rnacentral:lncRNA from 1 species
GGAGGCCAGGAGGCCCAGAGAGUUGCCACGGGUCCCUGCACGGCCCACAUGCAACUGCGGCGCCGAUUCCGGAGCUUGGUCUUGCCAGGUAAAGGGGCACUCUGGUCGUUAUUUAUAGAAAGCAGCAGUUUAAUCACGGCUUGCUCUUCUGCUUUUGCUUUUUUUCAUUUUCAAGAUGCCUGACUGGGGGCUGGAUGCGAUCAGCUUUCCAGGGCUGCAACCUUGUUCACAGCGAGCUGCUCACAGCAGUUGCAUUUUAGCUACAUCAUUUGCCUUUCGCUUCUCCGUGGAAGCGCUCUUUCUCUGCCCGUGCUUUACAAGCAUUUUAUAAUCAGGGCACAUACCAGCUCCGUGGUUACUAAGUUGCUUCUUCCUUGUCCACGGUCUGAAUUUCUUUUUAUUUCACCAGAUUUGCUGUUAUUUUUAUUAUCAAAUUUUAGCUUUGGGGACAAAGAAGCAGGGUUUGCAUAAAGGCGUUUUAAAAAUCAGAGGUUGACCUGCAAAGCAAGGAACUUCAACAGGAGCAGUGCAGCUUCCCUGGACCCCCUUGCUGGAGACUGGAUAGUGGUGACUCUAUGGAAACAUAAAUUCAGUGAAAACAAGGAAGCAAAGCCCCCAUGCUGGGGCUGUAAGAGGCUGUAUCCAUGCGCCUGGUGUCCCACUGAUUUCACCAAACUUCCCUUUCCAAACUCAUGAAAUUUCCUGUAACAAAAGUUUAUCAUAGGUACGACUGUUUUUUUUUUUUUCCUUUUAAGCCGCAGUUGGCUUUUUCUAAUCACCGGAGUUUCAGUUCUAGGGAAAAAUGUUCAGGUGCGCCAAGAGAAAAGAGAAAAUUAUUAUGUGAUUCAAUGGCCCCUUUGUGUGGAGCUUUCAGCCACCCGGGGGGGGGGGGGGGGGAGGGCCCAUGUGUCCUGGGUGUCACUGCGGUGUCUGCCAUUUCAGGCUGACUCUGCAUUCUUUCUUUUUUGCUGUUCUUUUUUUAAUUGUUGACUCCGAUUUCUUUUUGUUUUUUUGUUUUUUUUCCUUAUCCUUUUUUCUUUGUCUUUUUAGGGCUGCAUUUGCUCCAUAUGGAGGUUUCCAGGCUCGGGGGCGAAUUGGAGCUGUAUCUGCAGGCCUGUGCCAGAGCCACAGCAGUGUCAGAUCUGAGCCACGUCUGUGACCUACACCACAGCUCACGGCAAUGCCAGAUCCUUAACCCACUGAGAGAGGCCAGGGAUCGAACCCUCAACCUCAUGGUUCCUAGUAGGAUUUGUUUCUGCUCUGCCUCGACAGGAACUCCCUGACUCAGGAUUUCUGACAGUCAUCUUUUUCUGUGCUUUGCUGGGGAUAUGAACACCCCCAGGGCACUCAGCGUUAGGGCCUUUUAGCUUUUGAGCCUUGAGUGCCUUGAACUUUUCUAGCAGUGCCUAGAUGCCCCUCUGCUUUUCCCUGUGUUCUUUUUUGCCCCCUUCUCAGGCCUCAGAUAUGCCCUGUCCAAGCUGCUUUCCAGCAAAUCAUCAGGCUGCAGUUUAUAUUGGAAUAUUUUAAUGUUUCUGUCUCCCAUUCUAUGCUCUGGGGGGGGGGUGAUCCUACUCUGAAUUUUCAAAAUUAAUGUGAUAAGUACUAUUAAACGAUGCAGCCCAAGGCUU